AACGCACGAGACCUGCGGACCUGCGGAGGGAUCAUUACAUGGCGGAGGAGGUGGGCACCUAGUAAAAACAAAACCCUAGGUGUGUUGCCUACCACGCUUUCUACCCUUGUCUAUUUGCACCUUUUGUCGUUCCCUCGGUGGGUCUUGAACCUGCCGGCGGCAACUUUCAAAAACCUUUUGUAGUUAGUAUCUAAUUCUUCUGAUCAAAUAUUCAAUCGUUACAACUUUCAACAACGGAUC
rnacentral:misc_RNA from 1 species